GGUAGUGGUGAAGUGGUUAACACAUCGGUUUGUGGAUCCGACACGCGUGGGUUCGAUUCCCACCUAC
rnacentral:tRNA from 2 species